CAUAUAUGCGUGUUCAAUACGUGAGCCGCUAGAGAUGAAUAAAUUGCACACAUUACCAGCGAAAGACAGUGAGAGAGAUCGAGUGUGAACAGGUGAAUAGUAACAUCUGUCAAUUAACAGCACACUGUCACUGCACAUCAGGUGAACAUAAGCCAACUGCAUGCAAAUAUGCAGCAACAAAUACUGUAAAUAAAAAGGACAAAUGGAAAUGUAAGGAAUGUGUACGGUAUUUUAUUGGAAAGGACAAAUAUGUGUACCAACAUACAUACAUACAUAUAUUAUAUCUAGCAUGGAAGUAUUGUACGAAAAUAAUGUGAACUGCUGCUUGGAUGGCUGCGCUAAAACUUCGCCUAACAUUAAUGACGAUUUAUUUAAUAURUGUGAUCGAUCAGUAACGUACGUGAGCAGGAGAAUAGAAAUGUGAUAGUUCAAAUUUACCAGCGCACUACAAUCAUAUUAUAUAUGGAAUACCUUUAAAAAUGCAAGGAAGCUGUAAACCUAUGUAUGUCUGAUUUCCACACGACCAAAAAUGAAAGGCAAAAUGCCUUUAUACAUAUCUAAAACACUAUAUGGAGCCUGAGCACCCGUUUUAGUAGACCGCGCAGAAUCUUAAGGUCGAGAUGAAGCUGGCAUUUUGGUGUGACAGGUCACCAACUAACUGGAAGCGCUUUGUGAUCACCUGCUUCUAAAUACGAAACAAGCUGACAAUUGGGAGCGCAUAAGAAAUACAUUUAARUAUUGAUCUGGUAUUAUGAUCCAUAUGUAGAUACAUACUUAUAUGAUAUUACUUAUAAGGCAUAAAAACAUAUUAAAUGGCUAAUAUAUCUCAUAAA